rnacentral:piRNA from 1 species
UAGACAUUGGAUCUGAGAGGAGCCU